AAAACGCAUGGAAGGUUUAAAAUUGCUGUUUAUCCUGCUUAAUUCAAAGGUUUCUUAUCACAGGAAAAAAAAACCCGUCCUGUAUUGACCUUGCCAGUGGAGUAGCUCAGUCAGAACUGAUGGACUGCUGAUGGAUUUCGAUGAUAGCCAAAUUGGCGUCAGCUGAAGUUUGCCAAGGGGAUGAAAAGUUGGCUUGUUUUCUGUUGGACCUGUAAGUAACGUUACCUCUAUACGUUAGCUAUCCAGUUCAUGGUCCCCAGUAAUCGAUGGGAGAAGUUUACUGGUAUUUUUUUAAUGAAUUCAUGUGCCGGUGACUUGAUCGGGAUGCCUACUCAGGGUGAGUGGGCAGGGUUGAAGACAAGAGGAGACUUCUUUGAUUGUGAACAGGACCCACAGCAAAGCUUUAAAAAAAUCCUGCAUAGUAUGCAUUUCAAGACCAGGAAUCUGUGUGCAUUUUCACUGCCGGAAUAAAUCUGAGCGCGAGGGUGCAAGAGCGUCAGGGUUAACUGCAGGAGCCAGAGACUGCUAGCCCAACUCUAUGAAGCCUGUUGGGUUCAUCUUGCCUCUCCGUUGCCCUUCUAUUCAACCCCAUCAAUGUGGAUGGGAAGGUGGGGAUGGGUCGUUUUCUGAUGGCCUGAAUUUUUCCCGCCUUCGCCGGAUGAGCCCACAUUCACCGGGUACCAAGAGGCAGUGCUGAAGCAGCCGUACCACAUUUGGGUAGCUGUGAUCGUUGUAUAACGCGGCAUCCACGUCACUGCUACCUCAACUCUCCGCGUUCAGGCGAGCGCUCUCCCUCCUCCGAGCGGCUCUUGCUACACCUCGGUGGUGGCUGGACAGGCUCAGCACUCACGGCGCGGACUCCAUUGG